UCUCCGAAGACAUCUAGCCAUCAAGUGAUGAGACCUAUAUGAUGCUGAAACCUGAAAAAUGAUUAGCUUCAAACAAUGAAAUGUUCUCUCCCUUCAAAAAAGGUCAACUUUCAUCUCCAAAGACAUCUAGCCAUCAGGUGAUGAGACAUAAUGAUGCUAAGACACACCUGAAAAAUGAUUAGCUUCAAACUUCGACGUAGAGUGUCUGGUAAAUGAACCGCUCUCUAUUCCUUAAAAAAGGUCGACUUUCAUCUCCGAAGACAUCUAGCAAUCAAGUGGUGAGGCCUAAUGACGCAGAGACCAGAACAAUGAUCAGCUUCAAACAUCGACGUUCUUUCCCAUCAACUGUUCUUUCCCUUAAUAAAAGGUGUGCCAUCUGUUGAUGAUACCAAGCUGUCAACGAGAAGGGGAUUUCACCAGUCUACCAAUCAGCAAUUUACUAGGUGUGUGAGGUUUACUACGGAACAGAGGUAUAUUCAAAACCUGUGGGUUUCAUCACCCAUGUUUUACACUAACAUCAAAAAGUGGGCUGUUUUUGCAGCACUAUACAAGCGCCACCCCUACGCCACAUGCCACAACAUUCUGGGGACUUCAUGCAGGCACCAGCCUAACCCAGAUGAAUGGUUGACCCUACAGAUUAAUUACAGACAUGAACAUUGAAAACAUGUUUUUAUUAACACCAUUUGUAUUUAUAGAAAAGCAUUGUUUAAAAUUCCAUUUAUUAAAUUAUUGAACUAUUCCAUGUAACUAUUAUUAAUAUUUUUUGCUGAACAUCUCACAUCUUUCAUGACUGAAAGCAUUCAUCCAUUCGAGUUUGAAUUAGGCAAUUUGAUGUUUGUUUUAAUUUAUUUAAACUAGAGUUUGAUUUACACAGUUUUAAUAAA